CUUGGAUGAAGAGAUAGGACCGGUCAGUUUGGGAUCGAUACGCAGGAUACUUCUUCUCUAGAAGAACUGACUGACACAAUAAAGCGCGCCGCCGCCCAGGUCUCCUCUCCAUUGCAGUUGCAGCCUCCGCCUGGCUCUGGCUGGAUCCUCAGCCCACCGCCGCUUCGACCCGGAAGCGAAUUUCUCUCCUUCUUCUGCGUUGCUAUCGGAGAACGGUUAACAUCAGUUGACACUCUAUCAAGGUGCAGACACAGCUGCUGACCAAUAAUUUGGGUCAUGUCUACCCCCGCUUGCAAAGACGGGGCUAAUCUUGACGACAACCAUCCCAACGGGCGACGUGCCAAGUCCAAGCAUGGUCACACAGAUGAUCCCAAUAACCCGUUUAACCCCAAGAACCGCGGGCCAUUCAUCAUGUGUGCCUUCUUCUUUACAUUUAUAAUUUCCCUCUGCUGCAUGAUUGUGAUCGCAGCUGUCAACGAGGCCCAACCACCUGGCGUUGGCGAUCUCUUCGUCCGACUUAUAGGCAAAAGUGGGCUUGAUCCUGGCACCUCUCCGCCGACUUCGCCGGCUUUCCACCUUGCCUUGGACUUCAAUUGGACACCACGAAGAUACCGGCGCUGCAGCGGAGGAGGCAACUCGUUGCUGCGUGUCUCCUACCAUGACAUGAUCCUGGCGUGGGCUCAAGUGCCACAUUUCUGCGUCUACGGCCACUGGGGCAUUGACAGUGUUGGUACCUUCGAGGUGGAGGCCAAGGCGCCUCCGUGCUGCGAGAGGAGGUGCGCAACUUGCUUUGGAGCGAGAUUCAGGUCGUGGGGAAGGUCGAGUUCUACGUGGAAGGAGAGGUGGCGGGCCUAGGGUAUCUUCGCUGCAAGUUCUUCGUCAUAAAAGAUAAGGCUGCGGAUGUGGCCAAGAGCCUGUGCAUCCUCCGCCAGUAGGCUGGACCUAUGACUUCUGAUAAGGGUGUUAUAUAUCCUCCCUUCUGUCACUGGAUUACAUUUACUUUUGUAAUAGCUGCUAUAUUCUGCUUUGAAAUGAAACAAAAAAACUUCAGCUGCA